rnacentral:snoRNA from 1 species
AACCCAUGAUUUGGACAUUUUCUAAGUAACAUUUUAAAUCUUUCCCAUGUCUCACAUAAUGAUUCAUCUACUCCUUGUCUGAACACAGAAAUUUCAGACUUUGCUU